UGGGGAGAGUGGCUUUGUGCUGCGUUGCUGUGGCCCAGGGAAGCCCACAUGGACCCAGGCUCCCUGCUUCUGCCUCCGGUUAACAGUAAUGAAUGUUUCUGAAGCCAUAGAGUGGUGGAUCCAAUACAAAUCCACAGUGGGAUGCGGAGAAGGAGAUGAUCAAGCCAUGAAUGAGAGAUCAAAAAGAAACAGACCAUAUGGGGGAAGUCUAGCCCUGUCACCCAUUUCACAGAGGAAUAAACCAAGUCUCAAGAAGUGAAAGUGACCUAGUUAUAUGAAUUGUUUGGAAUAGCAAGAGACAGGAAAUGAUACGAAUGUCCAUCCACAGGGGACUGGUUCAACACACCAUGGAAGGUCUAUGCAGUGGAGAACUAUCCAGAUGUAGAGAUGACUGAGGAACCGUGUUACGCACCAAUGUGGAGUACUCUCCAAAAUAUAUCGUGAAGUUGGGAGAAAAACACAAAGUAAAAUGAAACAAGGGGCCAAAGGAUCCAUCUAGUAUAUCGCCAUUUGUGCAUCAAAAAGGAGAAGGGUGACGUGAACCUAUUUUCUCAUGGGUGCAUAAAACAUGUCUAAAAGGUUAAACAAGACACAGGUAACACUAGCUGCCUUUGCAGAAAGGAGCUGUUGCCCUGGGAACAGUGGUGUGAGGGAGAUUCUCAUUGUACACCCUUUUCUACCUUUUGACUUUUGAAUCAUGGAAA